UCAUUAAUUACAAAUUAAACUUAAAUUUUAAUUACAUUACAUGAAAUCUUUUCUUUCCUUUUUUUUUCUUUUUCUUUUUUCAAAUCAAAUUCCCUAUCACAUUUAUCAAUUAACAAAAUUAAAAAAUAGUACACCUAACAAUCGUAAAACUGCAUCGUUCCCAAUAAUCAAAAAACGAAAAUAAACUAUAGCACUAGUUAAUUUAUUUUUUUUAAAAAAAGGAAAGGAAUAAGCAAAUACAGAAGAAUGGCCAGAGCUCAAAGAGGUUUCCAAAACUCCAGUCAUCUUCUUCAAUCAGCCGCGCAGAAAUUUAUGGCUAUCUCUAUAUAUCAUAUCUGUCUGACCUUCAUCCUUUACAAAAAAUAUCAUGUCCGACAUGUAAUCAAUUUGAUUGUAUGUAUUUAUAUAGUGUUCAAAAGUUAACGUUAAAGAACUUUUCAAAUUCUGUAAUUAAGUGUAAAGAAUAAAUCUUCUUAAAAUUUACAAUUAAGAAAAAAAAUUUAAUGUAAAAAUUGAUAACUGAAGUUUUUAUGUGUAUAAUCUAAUGAGGAAAUGAUUAAUAUUAUGCGUUAAUAUUCUGCAAAAACAUUAAAUGAAGAAAAGCUAAAAAAAGAAAUUCAGCCCUCGAAGACAUGCCAUAUCAGGAAUUCUAGAUUCAGAUUAAUAAAGAUAUAUAGAUUCCUUUUAGAGGCCUUUUAAGUGGUAUAAAUCAAACACCAUUCAUGUUCUUUCAGUCAAAAUCUUCUUCCUCCUCCUUUUUACCUUCAAAUGAACAAAUUCAUCUUCGAAGAAUCGAUAAAAAUCAUACCAUCUAUUAACAAGCUACUAAAGGUUAGAUUUCUCAUUAUGUUCUUUCUUUUUCACCUUUGUUCAUCGCGUUUUUAUAAAUUUUUAUCUAGAUAAAACUUUAAACACGACGAAGGUGGAAACAAAAAAAUAAUGAGAAAGCUCACCUCUAGUAAUUACUUGUUAAUGGAUGGUAUGAUUUAUAUCUAUGCUUCAAAGAAGAAUGGAAAAUUUUGUUCAUUACAAGGUAAAAAGGGGGAGGAAGAAGAUAUAUUGAAAUUAGAUACACAAUGUGUGUUUGAUUUAUAGAAGUUAAAAAGGGCUAAAAAGGUAUAUUAAUUUAUUAAGAGAUGAAAUGGAUUUUAAUAAUUUUUUAAAUGGUAAAGGGCCUAAAAUGCUUCUCAGCUAUUUGCAUUAGUAUAAAAGUAUCCUUUAUCCACCUUUCAGCCCCCUAAAUACCCCUGACGUCAGCUUCUUGAACCAAAAGGUUUGAGUCAGAGGCUAGGAGGUUAAAAGGUCAAUGAGCGGUAAUUUUGUACUAAUUCAAAUAGUUUGAAGGGCAUUUUAGGCCCUCUCACUUAGAAAACUAUUAAAAUACACUUAUCUCUUAAUUAACUUAUCUUUUUAUUUCUGUAGUUUAUAAAUCAAACACACACUAUAUAUCUGAUUGCAAAUAUAUCUUCAUCAGACUAAUGUAUUAAAGCAAAGUAUUACAAAUUUACAACAAAGUGAAAUGUUAUAAUCUAAACUCUUAAAACGGACGAACAGAAGGGGCAUUUAUACUUCAUUAUUGUAAUUAGCAUUUUUUAUCACAUACUCUAAACUAAAUAACUGUGAUUAGCAAUUAUAUUUUGUUCUAAUCAUAUAUACUUCAGUUAUUAGCUUCUAGUAGUUGCCUAUAAACAGUGGCGGAUCUAGGCGGGAUUCAAACCCUCAACAAUGGCUUCGCACGCCUCUUAUUGCAGAGGUUUAAACUAGCUCACCCACAACUGCUUUUGUUCUAUGGAUGCUCAUUUAAAUUAUAAUAACACAUGUAUCAUAUUUUCUGUAUAUAUAUAUACAAAAAAUUUUGGAAAUCAAUGGGUGCUCGAGCACCCGCGUUUGGCUUACUGGGUCCGCCCCUGCCUAUAAAUAAAAUGGUCUAGUUAUAUUAUAUGUCUGUUAUAAACUUUAUUAGAAUGAGUAAUUAUAUUUUUCUAUUAAUAAGGAGGGGAAAAUAAUAGUCAAGAUAUGAUUGAAUUCCAACUUGUGAAAACCAAUUUAAAAUGCAACUUUUAAUUUUAAGAAGGAAUGUACAACAAAACUUAAUGUGAAAGAACCCCCACCGACCCACCCACCCAGCUCCAUUGCCAUCCCUAAUUUUGGCUCCCCUCUUGUUUCAGUUCUUUUGAGAUAUCACCUACUCGAAAAGAAUUAUGUUUGAGACGAAAUCAUUUUGGAAUUUCAGCCAAGUUUGUCAUUCAUGUAUAGUCUUUCAUAUUGACUCGAAUGAGAAACAUACGAUCUUAAGAAGUUGUCUUCAGUAGAUGAGAUAUGAGGAAUAAUGAUGGAGAAGAUCUUAGUUGAAGGACGCACUAAGUUGCCCUAUUUAAGGUUGAAUGUUGACGAGCCGAACCCAAUCAUUGGAAAUGAUACUUUUAAUUUUUCGAGAUCUACUAUGUUUUGUGAAUAAACAUCAUAAGAAAGCUAGAUUAAAAUGCAUACCUGUUAAGUCAUCUUGUUUAUCAAUGCAGAAGCGUGUUUCAGACAUGUGGUACAUUCAACUAGCUCUUCUUCUCUUGCUUCUCAUUCUUUCUCCUCCAACUAGGAUUCGAAUGCGGUGGGUCUUCAUAAGGUUAAUGAGAU
rnacentral:lncRNA from 1 species